AGCCCGUAAUGGGCUCGCAUUCUGCGUGUUAAUAGCGUUUUCCGAUGGCCUGGGAGCGUGGUUAGUGAAUC
rnacentral:ncRNA from 1 species